GGUGAAUUAGCUUCUGCUCCCCCUC
rnacentral:piRNA from 1 species